UUUGCUUUGGGCUGAACCUAUGAAGCCACCACCAAACACUGCAGGCAAAACCAGUAACCGUUUGCUUUGGGCUGAACCUGUGAAGCCACCACCAAACACUGCAGGCAAAACCACUAACCGUUUGAUUUUGUCUGAACCUGUGAUACCACCAAUCACUGCAGGCAAAACCAGUAACCGUUUGCUUUGGGCUGAACCGCCACCAAACACUGCAGGCAAAACCAGUAACCGUUUGAUUUUUUCUGAACCUGUGAUCCCACCAAUCACUGUAGGCAAAACCAGUAACCGUUUGCUUUGGGCCGAACCUGUGAAGCCACCACCAAACACUGCAGGCAAAACCAGUAACCGUUUGCUUUGGGCUGAACCUGUGAAGCCACCACCAAACACUGCAGGCAAAACCACUAACCGUUUAAUUUUGUCUGAACCUGUGAUACCACCAAUCACUGCAGGCAAAACCAGUAACCGUUUGCUUUGGGCUGAAC
rnacentral:lncRNA from 1 species